CAAAAGCUAGGACAUUUCCUGAAAUACAGUAUGUUUUCAAUAAAUGUUUGUUGAAUAAACAAACUUAUAAGAUAACAAUAGUACAGGCCGAAAACUAAAGAAACUUUGAAAAAUACUCUUAUCUUAGGCACAUCAUUAAAAUAUCAACUUUGGCAGAGACGUGGAGCAAGAUGACUGCAUAGAAGUUUCUACUGAUCAUUUCCCACCGCUUCCACGGGAACACCAAGUUUGAUAUCCACACAAAGGGAGCACCUUCAAAGGAAGCAAAAAUCAGAUACAUUCCCAUUGAGGCACGAAAAUGGAUCUAGCCACAGCUCUGAUG
rnacentral:lncRNA from 1 species